GACGAACGCUGGCGGCGUGCUUAACACAUGCAAGUCGAGCGGAAAGGCCCUUCGGGGUACUCGAGCGGCGAACGGGUGUGUAACACGUGAGUAACCUGCCCCAGACUUUGGGAUAACCCUCGGAAACGGGGGCUAAUACCGGAUACGACACAGCUUCGCAUGGGGUCUGUGUGGAAAGUUUUUCGGUUUGGGAUGGGCUCGCGGCCUAUCAGCUUGUUGGUGGGGUGAUGGCCUACCAAGGCGACGACGGGUAGCCGGCCUGAGAGGGCGACCGGCCACACUGGGACUGAGACACGGCCCAGACUCCUACGGGAGGCAGCAGUGGGGAAUAUUGCACAAUGGGCGGAAGCCUGAUGCAGCGACGCCGCGUGAGGGAUGACGGCCUUCGGGUUGUAAACCUCUUUCAGCAGGGACGAAGCGUAAGUGACGGUACCUGCAGAAGAAGCGCCGGCCAACUACGUG
rnacentral:rRNA from 1 species